rnacentral:rRNA from 1 species
UNUCNAACGCGGAGGAAAAGAAACCUACAGGGAUUGCCCCAGUCAGCGGCGAGUGACGCGCGCAAGAGCUCAGAUUUGGACUUGUGUUUCGGCACGAGUUUGUAAAUCGCAGGUUGGAGUCUUUGUGGAAGCGUGUGUCCAAGUCCCUUGGAACAGGGCGCCAUUGAGGGUGAGAGCCCCGUGGGAUGCGCGCGGAAGCAACAAGGCCCUUCUGACGAGUCGAGUUGUUUGGGAAUGCAGCUCUAAGCGGGUGGUAAAUUCCAUCUAAGGCUAAAUACUGGCGAGAGACCGAUAGCGAACAAGUACUGUGAAGGAAAGAUGAAAAGCACUUUGAAAAGAGAGUGAAACAGCACGUGAAAUUGUUGAAAGGGAAGGGUAUUGGGCCCGACAUGGGGAUUGCGCAUCUCUGCUCCUUGUGGGCGGGGCGCUGUGCUUUUCCUGGGCCAGCAUCGGUUUUUGCCGCAGGAGAAGGGGUACUGGAAUGUGGCUCCUCGGAGUGUUAUAGCCAGUGCCAGAUGCUGCGUGCGGGGACCGAGGGCUGC